rnacentral:rRNA from 1 species
GACGAACGCUGGCGGCGUGCUUAACACAUGCAAGUCGAACGGAAAGGCCCCUUCGGGGGUACUCGAGUGGCGAACAGGUGAGUAACACGUGAGUAACCUGCCCUUGACUUCGGGAUAACUUCAGGAAACUGGGGCUAAUACCGGAUAGGAAUCCUUGCCGCAUGGUGGGGGUUGGAAAGCUUCGGCGGUUUUGGAUGGACUCGCGGCUUAUCAGCUUGUUGGUGGGGUAGUGGCUUACCAAGGCUUUGACGGGUAGCCGGCCUGAGAGGGCGACCGGCCACAUUGGGACUGAGAUACGGCCCAGACUCCUACGGGAGGCAGCAGUGGGGAAUAUUGCACAAUGGGCGGAAGCCUGAUGCAGCAACGCCGCGUGCGGGAUGACGGCCUUCGGGUUGUAAACCGCUUUCAGCAGGGGCGAAGCUUGUGGUGACGGUACCUGCAGAAGAAGCACCGGCUAACUACGUG